rnacentral:rRNA from 1 species
AUUGAACGCUGGCGGCAUGCCUAACACAUGCAAGUCGAACGAGUGGCGGACGGGUGAGUAAUGUCUGGGAAACUGCCCGAUGGCGGGGGAUAACUACUGGAAACGGUUGCUAAUACCGCAUACCAUCUGAUGUGCCCAGAUGGGUUUAGCUAGUAGGUGGGGUAACGGCUCACCUAGGCGACGAGCCCUAGCUGGUCUGAGAGGAUGACCAGCCACACUGGAACUGAGACACGGUCCAGACUCCUACGGGAGGCAGCAGGGGGGAAUAUUGCACAAUGGGGGCAAGCCUGAUACAGCCAUGCCGCGUGUAUGAAGAAGGCCUUCGGGUUGUAAAGCACUUUCAGCGAGGAGGCGUUACUCGCAGAAGAAGCACCGGCUAACUCCGUGCCAGCAGCCGCGGUAAUAC